UGGACGAUAGUAGGAGCAGAAUUCUUUUUGUAGAAGAUUCUGUUGACUCAUUUGUAUCUUGUGGGAAGAUCAAGAGCUGUGGAAGGGAAACAAGUCCUGCAGCAAAAAUGAGCAAAUACCUAAAAGAACUGACGAAUUAACAAUGAAACAUUUCAACCAGUCUGGCAUACACCCUAAGUGAACACAACAAUUCCAUGCACUGAAAGACUCAUAAACACUUUAUCAGAGCCAUCAAGGGAGAUCUGUAUGCAUACAAGAGAGUGGGGAAGACAGGAGCUACAGACGUGAACAACAAAUUGUCCUCCUUCAGUGAUCCUGUAUUUCAGUAGGGAAGGAAUCAAUCACCCAAUCAGUCAAAGAAGACGUCCUGUUCAGGCUGGAAAACAGCUCCACCUCUUCUUCAGCUCUCCAGGUUUUCCUAGGAAGGACAAUGAAUAUUCUGCAGUCAAGGGGAUGGUCUUCAGGAACU